rnacentral:rRNA from 1 species
GACGAACGCUGGCGGCGUGCCUAAUACAUGCAAGUCGAACGAACCGCGACUGAGUGCUUGCACUUGGUCAAGGUGAGUGGCGAACGGGUGAGUAACACGUGGGUAACCUACCUCAUAGUGGGGGAUAACAGUCGGAAACGACUGCUAAUACCGCAUAGGACAUGGAAUCACAUGAUUCUGUGAGGAAAGGUGGCGCAAGCUAUCGCGAAGAGAUGGACCCGCGGUGCAUUAGCUAGUUGGUAGGGUAAGGGCCUACCAAGGCGAUGAUGCAUAGCCGACCUGAGAGGGUGAUCGGCCACACUGGGACUGAGACACGGCCCAAACUCCUACGGGAGGCAGCAGUAGGGAAUCUUCCGCAAUGGGCGCAAGUCUGACGGAGCAACGCCGCGUGAGUGAAGAAGGUCUUCGGAUCGUAAAGCUCUGUUGUUAGGGAAGAACAGCGCAUAGAGUAACUGUUAUGCGUGUGACGGUACCUAACCAGAAAGCCACGGCUAACUACGUG